rnacentral:misc_RNA from 1 species
CGAACCCCCUGGGCUUGGUUUACUCGACGACAGGUCCGAUACUACAAGGCAGAUAAUCCGUGACGGAGAAUGACACGCAGGUGCGACGAGUUGGGGAGUAGCUGAAGGCGGCCGCGAUCGCGACCGGCCCGGUGUCGUCCACGCUCGUACUUCCGGAACACCGCACAGUUGGGGAAAAGAGGCUACGCUAACACCUGCCGCUCACGUUGAUGGCCGAUCAUCGACGAGCCAAAAAUGAGCGACCGGACAGCAGCAGCCGACUUGUGUACGCUGUAUACAUAAUGGGCGGCUAGCACAAGAGAUGGAAAGCUCCCGGAGA